rnacentral:rRNA from 1 species
UACGGGGGGGGCAAGCGUUGUUCGGAAUUACUGGGCGUAAAGGGCUCGUAGGCGGCCAACUAAGUCGGACGUGAAAUCCCCGGGCUUAACCUGGGAAUUGCGCUUGAAACUAGCGGGCUUGAGUGUGGCAGAGGGGGGUGGAAUUCCACGUGUAGCAGUGAAAUGCGUAGAGAUGUGGAGGAACACCGAUGGCGAAGGCAGCCCCCUGGGUCAACACUG